UACGAAGGGUGCAAGCGUUAUUCGGAUUUACUGGGCGUAAAGGGUGUGUAGGUGGUGUGAUAAGUCUAUUGUUAAAGAUCCCGGCCUAACCGGGAAAAUGCAGUGGAAACUAUUGCGCUAGAGGGUGAGAGAGAGAAGUGGAAUUCUCGGAGUAGCGGUAAAAUGCGUAGAUAUCGAGAGGAACACCGAUGGCGAAGGCAGCUUCUUGGCUCAUUCCUGACACUGAAACACGAAAGCGUGGGGAGCAAACAGG
rnacentral:rRNA from 1 species